CCGCCGCGGACCCCGCAAUCCCGCAGCCGGCGACUGGAGCCCACCUCUGCGGAGACAAAGGCAGGAGUGCCAUUCCUUUCGCUCUUCUCAUGGAAGCUGCUCCAGAGAACCCCAGCUGAAGAUGCAUUCAGAUUCAGCAAACAGUGGGAAAGCAGAGGACACAAGUUUGGAUGCGAAAUAGUAACACCUUCUGCAGUGA